rnacentral:rRNA from 1 species
CACGUAGGGUGCAAGCGUUGUCCGGAAUUAUUGGGCGUAAAGGGCUCGUAGGCGGUCCGUCACGUCGGGAGUGAAAACUCGGGGCUCAACCCCGAGCCUGCUUUCGAUACGGGCGGACUAGAGGUAGGUAGGGGAGAACGGAAUUCCUGGUGUAGCGGUGGAAUGCGCAGAUAUCUGGAGGAACACCGGUGGCGAAGGCGGCAUCCUGGACCAACACUGACACUGAGGAGCGAAAGCCAGGGGAGCAAACGGG